rnacentral:rRNA from 1 species
GACCAACGCCUGGCGGCCCCCCCAACACAUGCCAGUUCCAACGAACAAGAAAAAACUUGCUUUCCCCAGCGAGUGGCGAACGGGUGAAUAACGCCGUGAGGAACCUGCCUCAAAGAGGGGGAAAGCAGUUGGAAACGACUGCUAAUACCGCAUAAGCCCACGGGUCGGCAUCGACCAGAGGGAAAAGGAGCAAUCCGCUUUGAGAUGGCCUCGCGUCCGAUUAGCUAGUUGGUGAGGUAACGGCCCACCAAGGCGACGAUCGGUAGCCGGACUGAGAGGUUGAACGGCCACAUUGGGACUGAGACACGGCCCAGACUCCUACGGGAGGCAGCAGUGGGGAAUAUUGCACAAUGGGGGAAACCCUGAUGCAGCGACGCCGCGUGGAGGAAGAAGGUCUUCGGAUUGUAAACCCCUGUUGUUGGGGAAGAUAAUGACGGUACCCAACAAGGAAGUGACGGCUAACUACGUGCCAGCAGCCGCGGUAAAACGUAGGUCACAAGCGUUGUCCGGAAUUACUGGGCGUAAAGGGAGCGCAGGCGGGAAGACAAGUUGGAAGUGAAUCUAUGGGCUCAACCCAUAAACUGCUUCAAAACUGUUUUUCUUGAGUAGUGCAGAGGUAGGCGGAAUUCCCGGUGUAGCGGUGGAAUGCGUAGAUAUCGGGAGGAACACCAGUGGCGAAGGCGGCCUACUGGGCACCAACUGACGCUGAGGCUCGAAAGUGUGGGUAGCAAGCAGGAUUAGAUACCCUGGUAGUCCACACCGUAAACGAUGAUUACUAGGUGUUGGAGGAUUGACCCCUUCAGUGCCGCAGUUAACACAAUAAGUAAUCCACCUGGGGAGUACGACCGCAAGGUUGAAACUCAAAAGGAAUUGACGGGGGCCCGCACAAGCAGUGGAGUAUGUGGUUUAAUUCGACGCAAACGCGAAGAACCUUACCAAGUCUUGACAUCCCUUGACAGGCAUAGAAAUAUGUUUUCUCUUCGGAGCAAGGAGACAGGUGGUGCAUGGUUGUCGUCAGCUCGUGUCGUGAGAUGUUGGGUUAAGUCCCGCAACGAGCGCAACCCUUAUGGUCAGUUACUACGCAAGAGGACUCUGGCCAGACUGCCGUUGACAAAACGGAGGAAGGUGGGGAUGACGUCAAAUCAUCAUGCCCUUUAUGACUUGGGCUACACACGUACUACGAAUGGCGUUAAACAAAGAGAAGCGAAGACCGCGAGGUGGAGCAAAAACUCAGAAAAACAAACGUUCCCGGUUUCGGACUGCGGAGCUGCGAACUCGCCUGCGCGAAAGUUCGGAAAUUGCUAGUGAAUCGUGAAUCAGCAUGCCACGGUAAAUACGUUUCCCGGGGCCCU